UACGAAGGUCCCGAGCGUUGUUCGGAAUCACUGGGCGUAAAGGGAGCGUAGGCGGCGCGGUAAGUCAGAUGUGAAAUCCCGGGGCUCAACCCCGGAACUGCAUCCGAUACUGCCGUGCUAGAGGAUUGGAGAGGUAGCUGGAAUUCUUGGUGUAGCAGUGAAAUGCGUGGAGAUCAAGAGGAACACUCGUGGCGAAAGCGAGCUACUGGACAAUUCCUGACGCUGAGGCUCGAAGGCUAGGGUAGCGAAAGGG
rnacentral:rRNA from 1 species